AAUACACUUGUUUGCCUUUAAGAUGAUCGGGUACCUAAAUAGAUGUGCAGAGCUCACACAGAAGAGUCAGGACUGCAGUUCUCAGGAAGCCCUUUAUUAAAUCAAGGCAUUAAAGGAAAAACUACUGUUAUUCAUCACGCUUCUCUUCUUCAGGU